rnacentral:lncRNA from 1 species
AUUUAUUUGUACCCUAAGCAGCGCUGUCAUAGGACAGACAGGCUGCUUCAGCCAACCAGGCUGGAGCAGCUGCGAGUGCUACAUCUUGGCAGUCUGAAGCGAUUGGCUCCUCUCUGGGGAGUGGAGGGUGUUCAGUUAUUAAUGACCGCUGAGCAGGCAGCACCGUGUCAGUGUGACAACUGAUCUGGUGAACGAUGCACCACUAACCACCAUGGAAACGAGGAGAAAUAACGCCAGCUAGCAGGAUCUCUCUUCACGGGAUUGAGAGGCUCAGCCUGCUGCUGCCGGAGAGAGUUCCAGUCAAAAGAAGGAAUCCUAGCUGCAGGCUCCUGCCUUCCUUUAUAUUUUAGAAAAAGAGAGAGAGAGAAAGAGAGACACCAUUGCUUGCAUGUGUGCAUAUCUAUAGUAUGUAAUUGUGUGUACUUUAUUACACAUACAUAUGCACCUAUUUAUACUGGGGCAAGAAGACAGCCAUGUGAUUAUUUCAGCCAAGGAACUGAGCAAGCAGGGGCACCGGAGGAGGGCUAUCCCUGCAUCUGCUAAGGCAAGAAGCAACGCCUUUGAGACAGAAUUACUGUCAGUCAACUCAGAGCGUCCAUGGAAUGAUGAUUCACGGAAUACUCUGUGGACCGAUUUUUACUUCCAAUCUUGUAAGAGGAAGCCAGCUACUUAGAAUAUGCUCUCAAAGCGACACCACCAAUUGAGGGUGGCUGUGGAAAUCUUCACUGCCCCUGCAAAUGGGUCCUGUGGAGACAUUAAAACAAACCCAGGGUUCAUAUUUCAUCUGCUGGAGCUUUCUCCUCUCUUCUCUUAGUUCAACUCACAGUUAUCGGAGUCUGCUUUGAAAGUGGGUGCUAUUCUUUUCCCAAACUGUGAUUUCAGACUUACUAGGUUCCUAGCCUAUAACAGAUGGCAGAACAGAAAGACAAUAAGCAGCCACUUAGAUCCUGCCACCUUCCCAUCAAUGUGUCAAAAAAAAUGAGUCGGUUUACAAUAUGUAACGUAAGGAGUCAAUUAAUUCCAGCGACCUCUGUAAACGACGACAAUAAAGCAGUCUGACACUCUGCCGCUGCCUUCGAU